rnacentral:rRNA from 1 species
AACGAACGCUGGCGGCAGGCCUAACACAUGCAAGUCGAGCGGAUGAGGGAAGCUUGCUUCCCGAUUUAGCGGCGGACGGGUGAGUAAUGCCUAGGAAUCUGCCUAUUAGUGGGGGAUAACGUUCCGAAAGGAACGCUAAUACCGCAUACGUCCUACGGGAGAAAGCAGGGGACCUUCGGGCCUUGCGCUAUCAGAUGAGCCUAGGUCGGAUUAGCUAGUUGGUGGGGUAAUGGCCCACCAAGGCAUUGAUGGGUAGCUGGUCUGAGAGGAUGAUCAGCCACACUGGAACUGAAACACGGUCCAGACUCCUACGGGAGGCAGCAGUGGGGAAUCUUGCGCAAUGGACGAAAGUCUGACGCAGCCACGCCGCGUGAGUGAAGAAGGCCUUCGGGUUGUAAAGCUCUGUCGAGCGGGACGAAAAACGGUGAGGUGAAUAGCCUCAUCGUCUGACGGUACCGCUAAAGGGAGCACCGGCUAACUCCGUGCCAGCCGCCGCCGUAACAC